rfam:Aneurinibacillus migulanus strain DSM 2895 super7, whole genome shotgun sequence.
CAACGAUAAUGGCAAACGUAUCGAAAGAUAGGGACGCAAAGCCACGGGUCUAACGUGUAAAAACUAUGACAGCCGGGUUACCGAA